AAUCGAGUUCUUUUUAGCAAAUUGGACAUACGGCGUCUUGGUUUUCAUGGGAUGUAGCUGCAAUACAGCAAGACCGAUUGCAUAAGCCCAUUGAAGUAAAUCCCUAAA
rnacentral:ncRNA from 1 species